AAAAUUGCAGUCUAUGAGAAAAUGUGGUCUUACAUGAAAUCAGCAGAGCCAUCUGUGUUUACCAAAACGACAGCAGACGGAGUGGCCCGAGUGCGGAAGUCCAAGGGGAAGUUCGCCUUCCUGCUGGAGUCAACCAUGAAUGAGUACAUUGAGCAGAGAAAACCGUGUGAUACCAUGAAAGUUGGUGGAAAUCUGGAUUCCAAAGGCUAUGGUGUGGCAACCCCUAAAGGCUCAGCAUUAAGAAAUGCUGUUAACCUGGCAGUAUUAAAACUGAAUGAGCAAGGCCUCUUGGACAAAUUGAAAAACAAAUGGUGGUACGACAAAGGAGAGUGCGGCAGCGGGGGCGGUGACUCCAAGAACGCCUGUAAACCUUGCAGUAUUGAAACUCAGUGAACAAGGCAUCUUAGACAAGCUGAAAAACAAAUGGUGGUACGAUAAGGGGGAAUGUGGAGCCAAGGACUCCGGGAGUAAGGACAAGACCAGCGCUCUGAGCCUGAGCAACGUGGCAGGCGUUUUCUAUAUACUUGUCGGAGGUCUGGGGCUGGCCAUGAUGGUGGCCUUGAUAGAAUUCUGUUACAAAUCACGGGCAGAGUCCAAACGCAUGAAACUCACAAAGAACACCCAAAACUUUAAGCCUGCUCCUGCCACCAACACUCAAAAUUAUGCUACAUACAGAGAAGGCUACAACGUGUAUGGAACAGAGAGUGUUAAGAUCUAGGGGUCCCGUCCCACUGGCGGCAUGUGAUGAGAGGAAUCACCGAAAACGUGGCUGCUUCAAGGAUCCUGAGCCAGAUUUCACUUUCCUUGGUGUCGGGCGUGACACGAAUAUUGCUGAUGGUGCAAUGACCUUUCAAUAGGAAAAACUGAUGUUUUUUUCCUUCAGUGCCUUAUGGAACACUCUGAGACUCACGACAAUGCAAACCAUCAUUGAAAUCUUUUUGCUUUGCUUGAAAAAAAAAUUAAAAUAAAACCAACAAAAAAAAAUGGACAUGCAAGAUUCCAGUAUGUGAAAAAAAAUCUUAUUAAAAAAAGUCAAUUCAACAAAAGCCAUUCUGUGAUACCACUGCUCAAUAUACAAACACCACGUUCUUUAAUACACACACACACACGCACACACGCACACGCGCACAGCACACACACACACGCACAAAAAAAUUUUUAAUUCCAGUUCAGCAAAUAGGCCCAUCUCAGCUAAAAUAAUUAAUUCCUCCUGAUUAAAAAAAAAAAAUCUCUGACUCCCUGUGUUUGGGAAGACAGACUGGCAUUUCUUCUAGGAUCUGCUGACCAGAUGUUUUUGGUAGUUCCUGUUGGUAGUGAUGUUGUGUGAACCCUCUUUCCUUUCAACGUUGCUGAAAUGUGUGUAUCUUUAGAAUGUAAAUGCGACACAUAAGAAAAUUCAAACACUUUGGAAAAGGGACUAAGCCUUGACUUCUCUGUGUUCUUAAAAUGGUUUCGUGAAAAUGCUUUGAUAACUUCCCACUCGGUGAAGGGAUUAACAGAGCUUUCGAAAUUGACUUUUGUGUGUAGCAAGGGACGGGGCACUAUCAGGCAAACCUCUCGGUGCUUUCCUAAAACGGAUCCCGGGGCUCUCCAAGAAGCCUGGAAUUGCAGCUCACAGAUCUGUUUUUCUUGCUUCAGUGUGCAUUUUAAGUCAAUACAGCUGAGUAUUUAGCAUUGAGGUGAGGGAAAUGCUGCCUACACUCCCAAAUGUUUAGAGUAUCUUUCUCAGAAACAACACUGUGUUUAGCUCUGCUUUCUCCGCUAAGUAUGCCUUUCAAGUGUACACCCCGGAGACAGGACCGCGUCGCAAGGCGGGCCAGUGGGUUCAGACCACAGUUCUCAGUCCGACUUUUACUCUUGCUAGGUCUGUCUUCCCAGCUGUUGCCUGUUACUGCCCGUGGCUCUCCGUCAGACUGCAUGUGUCCUUUUCUAGUUUGCAAAGACUAAAACGCAUUCCCAAACCUACUGCUAAACCCAGGGCCUCAGCAUCACUCCUAGGUCCUUGCUCGGAGCCAUCUCUCCACUGUCUCUCUCAGAAGAACGCUCCACUGCUCCACGGGCUAUCAAGUAACUAAUUGCGCACCUGCCGUUGGCAUUAUCGGAACAGUCAGAGGAAAUAGUCUCCGCUCACUAAUUACCUCCUAUAUAAUGACGUAUGCUUCCUGUAGUUCAGUAGUUUGCUCUCAUCAGUGACGUGCAUUGGGAAGUUUCCAGACUGUAAAAACUAGGAGCUCGAAUUCAUUUCCCAAGUGUGACCUUUAGAUGCUUAGCCGACUCACUGCCCAUUUGCUCUUGUCUUCAGAAAAGGAAGGAAGAAGUCUCGUUCCAAUGAAACGUUUCCAGAAAAGUGUAAUAUAAACUUUCAUUCCAAAAAUUGUGUCAUCAGCGAAUAACUCACCUGUCAAAUUUUAAAUGGUAUUGAACAAACAAAAAGAAAGCUGUUGUGUUUUUGUUCUGUUUUGUUUUCAUGAACCUGUGACUUUCAACUUCUGAAUGCUAUGAUGUCCAGAGCAGGAAGCUGACACCGUGCAAAUGUGAAGUUGUAUAAAACGAAUCAACCAACCUACACACAAAUGUUUUCAGAGGCACUGUAUAAAGAGAAAUGUAUGUUUAUUGACUCAAAUCAGUUUUUCAGAGGAAACUUCACUGGGAAUGAAGAGGCGGGUAAAUUGGUUUGUUAUUUUUUAAAAACUUGCAUGUUUAAAAAAAAAAACAUUGAUUGCUUCAAAUCUCUGCUACUAACUUCAAGCUAUGGGAGUUUGGCGGUAGUCACUUGAGGAUUUUUUUUUCCGAUUCUUUUCUUUUCGUUGUUAAAGCUGUACUUCAGUGAACAGAAAAAUUGCCAAGCAAACUAAUGGCCAUAAAAGCGUAAAUUGCAUGUGUGGGCAUAAAUUACGGAGCCUCAUUGCCAUGAGGUAUUGUACAAAGUUUUAAUACAUUUUGUAAAUAAAAUUGUAAAGAAAGCA